CGAGUGGGGAAUUUUCCGCAAUGGGCGAAAGCCUGACGGAGCAAUGCCGCGUGGAGGUGGAAGGCCUACGGGUCGUCAACUUCUUUUCUCGGAGAAGAAACAAUGACGGUAUCUGAGGAAUAAGCAUCGGCUAACUCUGUGCCAG
rnacentral:rRNA from 1 species